GACGUAGGAGGCGAGCGUUAUCCGGAUUCACUGGGCGUAAAGCGCAUGUAGGCGGCUGAUUAAGUCGUGUGUUAAAGCCCUCGGCUCAACUGGGGGAGGUCAUGCGAGACUAGUCGGCUGGAGGGCAGCAGAGGAGCGUGGAACUCCCGGUGUAGCGGUGGAAUGCGUAGAGAUCGGGAAGAACACCAGUGGCGAAGGCGGCGCUCUGGGCUGCACCUGACGCUGAGAUGCGAAAGUGUGGGGAGCAAAC
rnacentral:rRNA from 1 species